CUCGUUAAGAGAUGGGUGAAGAAAGAGAUUUAAGUUAAAUGUACUUAUAACGGAUAUAUGUCAUCGGACUAACCAUCAUUAUCGACUAUAUAUUUCACAAAAUAACUUCUGUCAUUCUAAAAUUAGUAAGUGAUAAGACUCAUCAAGGUCAUCCUUUGUUUUUAACUUAUACAGAUGUACAUCUUAAUAUUGUUUGCAGUUUUCCACUUUGCAGUUCCACGACACAUUUGUAACCCAUGUGAUCCUCUAGAAAUACCAAUGCUUGAUUUAGUUAAGCAUGCUACAAUUUGUGGCGCAUGUGGGCAGUUCUAUGGAGAAAGUAUGGAGAACUGCUGCUUCUGUAACUCUGAUAUAAGACAACUAUGUAGUAUCGCUUACAACUGAAAUUCGACAUGACAGGAUAUCAGAAGAAACAGAACUUUGCGACGACAAGAAAACCACAAGAUCAGUUGAUUCCAUGCAGGCUGAAUAGUGAUUUUGAAAUCGUUCAAAUAUGAGCUGUGCCAAGGAUAAACUUAGUUAGUGUUUUAAAGUUAACUGUAUACACAUGAAAACAACAAUCUAACCAAGGCAAAAAUAACUCAUUAUUUUCUAACAAUUUACUUUUUUGUUCCUCAUAUAAAAGAUGAAAUAAAAUAUCACGGUGUUGCCUCAUUAAUCUGCAUUUUUCCCUAAUGUACAAGAUAUACUUCAAGCUUUUACUGACUAAUAAUAAUAUAGAUAUUGGUAAAAGCAAGUUAUUAUUCGAUGGAUAUGAAAACGCAUCACACGGUAAAGCAUGCUCACAUGUUGCUUGAUACAAAAUGUUAGCAAACUCUGAUAUAUAGUUUUUAAGGAAAAUGCGACGGAGAUAUCACGGAACGGACAGACGGACAACGGUAAGCUAGUUAACAAUCCCUAUUUCUUGUGGAUGAUAUUUUAAAAGGUUUUUAUAAUAAGUGAUGUUUGAGACUUGGAGAAGUAUUGCUGUAUCAUUUAUUUAAGUGAAAUGAUACGGUAAGUCGAUAGUCUUUCUGUACAAGGACUCAUUUUGGCACUCAUACCACAUCGUCUUAUAUCUUUAGGCUCUACAUUCACGAAAGUCAAUCGAGGAAAAUUGAUUAAACAUAGUCAAUAUGAGUUUAAGAGAAACAGAAACGGUUGUAUACCAAUAGUCCCAGAUAUUUUUUACAGAUUUUUCAAAUGAUGUUAAGACUAGUAACCCCAAACUGUCUCGCUCUCGAUAUUAAUAACCAUGCAACUCCUUCGUUUGAAAAUAUGAAAUCAACUUUUAUUUUGAAAUUUUAAGCAAAGUAAACAGCAAAAUUAAAAAGAACAUCAAUUAAAC
rnacentral:lncRNA from 1 species